ensembl:ncRNA F35A5.11 ncRNA
UAGAUUAUCGCUAAACGGAUAGUAAUAAGGAAUGAAAGGAAUACAAAAAUGUCCGGCACGGUGGUCAGUUCCCCGCUAUUUGUACCCAUAUAUUUAUAGAGAUUGACACCUGCAUUGUGCCCGGCGGCCGCGGCCACUUUUU